UACGAGGGGGGCGAGCGUUGUUCGGAAUUAUUGGGCGUAAAGGGUGCGUAGGCGGGUCUUUAAGUCAGGGGUGAAAUCCUGGAGCUCAACUCCAGAACUGCCUUUGAUACUGAAGAUCUUGAGUCCGGGAGAGGUGAGUGGAACUGCGAGUGUAGAGGUGAAAUUCGUAGAUAUUCGCAAGAACACCAGUGGCGAAGGCGGCUCACUGGCCCGGUACUGACGCUGAGGCACGAAGGCGUGGGGAGCAAACAGG
rnacentral:rRNA from 1 species